GUGGGGAAUAUUGGACAAUGGGCGAAAGCCUGAUCCAGCCAUGCCGCGUGUGUGAAGAAGGCCUUCGGGUUGUAAAGCACUUUAAGCGAGGAGGAAGGUUCGUCACCUAAUACGUGACGGAAUUGACGUUACUCGCAGAAUAAGCACCGGCCAGCUCUGUGCCAGCAGCCGCGGUAAUACAGAGGGUGCAAGCGUUAAUCGGAAUUACUGGGCGUAAAGCGCGCGUAGGCGGUUGUGUAAGUUGGAUGUGAAAUCCCCGGGCUUAACCUGGGCACUGCAUUCAAAACUGCACGGCUAGAGUAUUGGAGAGGAAGGUAGAAUUCCAGGUGUAGCGGUGAAAUGCGUAGAGAUCUGGAGGAAUACCGAUGGCGAAGGCAGCCUUCUGGCCAAAUACUGACGCUGAGGUGCGAAAGCAUGGGGAGCAAACAGGAUUAGAUACCCUGGUAGUCCAUGCCGUAAACGAUGUCAACUAGGUGUUGGGGAACUUGAUUCCUUAGUGCCGCAGCUAACGCAUUAAGUUGACCGCCUGGGGAGUACGGUCGCAAGAUU
rnacentral:rRNA from 1 species